GGGUUGUGAGGUUAAGCGAAUAAGCGUACACGGUGGAUGCCUAGGCAAUCAGAGGCGAUGAAGGACGUGCUAAUCUGCGAAAAGCGUCGGUAAGGUGAUAUGAACCGCUAUACCCGACGAUAUCCGAAUGGGGAAACCCAGUAUCCAAUGGAUACUAUCAUUAACUGAAUCCAUAGGUUAAUGAGGCGAACCGGGAGAACUGAAACAUCUCAGUACCCCGAGGAAAAGAAAUCAACCGAGAUUCCCCUAGUAGCGGCGAGCGAACGGGGAGCAGCCCAGAGUCUUAAUCAAUAGCGGUGUCAGGAGAACGGUCUGGAAAGUCCGGCAGUAAAGGGUGAUAGCCCCGUAUCUGAAGAUGCUGUUGUUGUGAACUCGACGAGUAGGGCGGGACACGUGUUAUCCUGUCUGAAUAUGGGGGGACCAUCCUCCAAGGCUAAAUACUCCUGAUUGACCGAUAGUGAACCAGUACCGUGAGGGAAAGGCGAAAAGAACCCCGGCGAGGGGAGUGAAAAAGAACCUGAAACCGUGUACGUACAAGCAGUAGGAGCCUCUUUAUGGGGUGACUGCGUACCUUUUGUAUAAUGGGUCAGCGACUUAUAUUCUGUAGCAAGGUUAACCGCAUAGGGGAGCCGUAGGGAAACCGAGUCUUAACUGGGCGAAUGAGUUGCAGGGUAUAGACCCGAAACCCGGUGAUCUAUCCAUGGGCAGGUUGAAGGUUGGGUAACACUAACUGGAGGACCGAACCGACUAAUGUUGAAAAAUUAGCGGAUGACUUGUGGAUGGGGG
rnacentral:rRNA from 1 species